ensembl:lncRNA
CCCCGCCAGCUGCCGACCGGAGGUGGAGGCAAACUUAAAAGAAAAAGCUAAGGGCAGGGGUCUUUCAGUCAAACAUCAUUCUCAGAUCUCGGAAGUGUGUUUAGAUGGGAGCAGUACUGGACUUACUCAGUUUGGUUCCAGAAAGUGAAACUGAAACCGGUGAGAACCAGAUGAACACAGCUUCAGGUCCAAGUGAAAGAAAACUUCUACAUUAACUGCCAUCCACUGGAGUAGGUCCCAUCUUGAGGUGGUGAGCAUCUAGUUAGCAGAACCUGUGUUCGUCAGAGCUACUGUUUCCUUCGGGACUGAAACAUUCCAUCCAGAAGGGAAGCGCCUAAACAGAAAGAUAAACAACUCAAAUGGCUUCAGGAAGUCCUUGAAACUGACCAGAUUCGCUAUCCUGCCCUCUUUAUUGAGUAAGCAAUAAAAGCUGAGAGUUCCUCUCAGACUAGCAGAGCUGCAAAGAAAACCACCAGAUUAGCCAAAUUGAAAAGAAGACUCCACAAGCAGACCAGCUGAGCUGCCUAGAAGAGGUUUAAUACCAACUGAGAGUGAAAAGGAUGCCCUCCAACACACUGAGCUGCCUGCAGUGUGCUCCACAUCCCCAGCUUUUGUGAGCUGUCACCCAUGCUGGGGUGGACUUUGGUGAUACACCUGUCUUUGAGUCAUUUCUACUCCCGUAAGUAACCCCUCACCCAUAAGUGACUCCAGGAAAACUUAUUAAUUCACCAAGUUGGACUUUGGUAGUACCUGUACUUUGAUCUCUCAUAGUCUCCCUGUCUGGGGUGAGUGGACAAGCGUUUUGUCUCCUCAGGAAAAGUUUUGUCACAUAACACUAUCUCACUGGUUUUGAGCAAGGGAAGCUCAUUUGUUAUAUGGCUGCUUUGUUAUUUUGUUGUUGUUUGUAUUUUUGUAUUUGGGGCUUUGAGACAGGGUCACGUUUCUCAGAUCUGCCUCCACCUCUCAAAUUCUAGGAUUACAAACACAUGCAUCACCAUGCUGGGUCUGGAGCAGCAUCUUUGAAAGGACUAUUAUAAUUUCUUGCAAAUCUAGAAGGUACAGCUGAGAACUUUAUGCUAGUAUUAUUCCCCCAAAUAUUUCAUUAAACACUGAUUUCAAGGCUAGACACAAUACCUGCCGCCUGUCGCUCUCCAAAGGCAAAUGCUCCAUGCUGCUGCCCCCCAGAGGCCAUUGUGCCUAAUAGCAGCCCACACUGUGACUCCUGAAGAGGUAAAUUAAGAGUGGCUCUAGCGGCUUGUAGAAACCUAUAGAAAAGCCCUAAGAGAAUCGAGACCACUGGAACUGGAGUUGCAGAUAGUUGUGGACACUGGGAACUGAACCCAGGCCUUCUACAAGAAUAUCAAGUGCUCUUAGUCAGUGGGCCUUCUCUCCAGUGCCACAAUUGCAUCUUUUUGUUGUUGUUUGUUUUGUUUUUGCAGCUAACCGUGUCCUAACUGGGUAUGGUUCCUUUUAAAAGCAAGACUUCAAAUGAGAUAAUGUGUGUAAAGUAUUAAAUGAGCUUUAACUGGUAUUUGCUAUUGUGUUUAUUAUCACAUACACUAGGCUUGUUUACUUAGGAGACCCUUAAGGGCUUCAGUGGUUCUAGAACGUUGUUUAGAUCAUGCUGCCCUAAAGUACCCCAUACUAUGUAAAAUGAUGAGUCUUCAGACUGGG